AGGAACAGGAACAGAACUCUAAACUGAGUGACUACGUGGCUCAUUUGGCGUUCGGCUAAUCGCAAAUAACGCACAUCGAUUAAGGCCACAUCAAAUGAGUUGGCUAAAAUAGGAAAUGCCAAGGAACACACACACACACACACAUCGAAAGAUGAGUAAAAGAGAAUGAGAAACAGAAAUAGAAACAAUUAGCACGGUCAGAACAUAAUUGGCGUGCAGUUAGGUCUCUGAUUAAAGAAGCAAUCAUAAAAUUAAGACCCAUAAUCCUCUGCAAUUUGAGCACACGCAUCACAAUUGACGAAGGUGUGGCCAAGGGGUCGAGGGGGGAAUACCACAGGGGAAAGGAACGCGAGGCUGGCGGCGACUCAAUCGGAAGAAACAAAAGCAGGAGCUGGCCAGAGAAGCUAAUACGAGUAAUAAACCAACAGCAGCAGCAACACAACAAGCCAGAAGACUAUUAGAGUUACAAUUGUAGCAGCUGAUCGACUAGAAGUUACCCUGUAAAGGUAUCAAAAUCACUUUACACGUUUUGUCUCCAUCCACUACACACACACACACACAUACAAGCACGCCAUCUCUAGCUCAGUGUGUGUAUGUGUGUGUGUGAAUGUGAGUGCAUUUCGGUGCGUGGUCCACCAAGCGAAAUGCGGAACUCAUUAUGUACGUGCGGCGAUUUGUGUGCCCCGCUAACAACAACAACAACAACAGCAACAACAAUGAGAACUACAACAGGCUGAGAAGAAGAAGCAGAACUCUUAGUUUAUAUCGACUGUGCGAGACCCUGUAACAAAUUUGGAAAUUGGAUGAAAGUGUUGCUGUUGUAAUUGGGUAUGAAGGCAACUAAUAUGAAAUGUUCAUAAGCAAGCUGGGCAUCGGGAAUGAGGAGGAUUGUGGAAUUUGAGCUUGCGUCUUGGACUUGGAUUUGGUUUUGGAUGUGGAUGUGGAUGUGGAUAAGGCAUUUGACUGAGGAUUGCAGUCAGUUCAAUACGCUUCCGGUUAUAGAAAUUGUAUGUGAAACGUGAGAAAUUCAUUUCCAAAGGUGGCCAACAAUCGACGGUCAAAGGUUAAGUCAAUGCAUUUAAUUAUCAAUGGAUGAGAACAACAAUUAAUAAGAUGAUGAUGAGGAGAAGAAGAAGAGUUGCCAUCGAUUGUCCGACAAAAGCCGAAAGAGGUCAGCAAAAUUGUGGAAAUAAGUUUGCGUUCGAAACAUGCGAGAUUUCUAGCAUACUUUUAGGCAUGCCACGACCAACAAUCAUUGCAUACUUUUAAUCGUUUCUCGAAAUGCGCACUUAUCCAAAGCAUGCUGCAUACUUUUAGGCCGUGUAAUUAAAUCAGCAAAUGCAUUUGAACAAUGCAAUUCAUUGCAUACUUUCACAGACGAGCAACAGCUGAAGAUUUAUAAAUUAUCGCAUUGCUGUUUUAUUUGUUUAAUUUUGCCAGAAUACAUUUAAGUAAAGCUCGAUAAACAAUUUUAUUGAUUGUCCAUUUAAGCCAUUAAAUCUCAUACUUAACAAAUCGAUGUAAAUGCCAUGAAAAUCAAUUAAAAGCAGUUGCAUACUUUUGGG